rnacentral:rRNA from 1 species
UACGAAGGGUGCAAGCGUUAAUCGGAAUUACUGGGCGUAAAGGGUGCGUAGGCGGUUAUUUAAGUCUGCCGUGAAAUCCCCGGGCUCAACCUGGGAAUUGCGUUGGAGACUGCAAGGCUAGAGUCUGGCAGAGGGGGGUAGAAUUCCACGUGUAGCAGUGAAAUGCGUAGAGAUGUGGAGGAACACCGAUGGCGAAGGCAGCCCCCUGGGUCAAGACUGACGCUCAUGCACGAAAGCGUGGGGAGCAAACAGG